ACUACGGGAGGCAGCAGUGAGGAAUAUUGGUCAAUGGCCGGAAGGCUGAACCAGCCAUGCCGCGUGAAGGUCAGUGCCCUAUGGGCGUUAAACUUCUUUUGUGCGGGAGCAAUAAUGGUCACGUGUGGCCAGACGAGAGUACCGUACGAAUAAGCAUCGGCUAACUACGUGCCAGCAGCCGCGGUAAUACGGGGGAUGCAAGGGUUAUCUGGAUUUAUUGGGUUGAAAGGGGGCGUAGGUGGGGAGGUAAGUCAACGGGGAAAUGCCCCCGGUCUACGGGGUGAAGUGCCAUUGAUACUGCCUUGCCGGAAUGCGGAUGCCGUGGGAGGAAUGUGUGGUGUAGCGGUGAAAUGCAUAGAUAUCACACAGAACACCGAUUGCGAAGGCAUCUCACGAAUCCGCGAUUGACGCUGAUGCACGAAAGCGUGGGUAUCAAACAGGAUUAGAUACCCUAGUAGUC
rnacentral:rRNA from 1 species